GGGCAGGCUCUGCCUUGCCCUGCUCUCAUUCAAACACUCUCCGGGGCUCCCUGGGGGUCGCUGGCGUCAGACCAAUUUCACUCUAUGCUGAGGAAAGGGAGCUGGGCAGCAGGGAGCCUGGAGCGAUGCUGCACUUAGCUAUGGCCUCAAACCUUCACUGACCCACGCAUCUCCCCCUCCUCCCUGCCACUGGAAGGAAACCAUGGCAUCAGAACACAUUGGGACUGGCAGCUGCCUCCAGCACAAGGACUCAGAGUCGCAUCAUUGGAUUCCUGGACCCACUUGUGCCUGCUAUCAGCUUCCUGUUCCUGAGAAAUCAGGAGAGCGUGACCUCAUGGAAACCCAGUCAUCAGCAGGAGAGAGACCGGCAGCAUCGGACGAGGGAGGCCGUCACAGAAUCAGGACCAAAGCUCGCUGGCCUUGGCGUUGGAAGGUUUAUUGGUGGCCUCCUGUCUAAUUGAA
rnacentral:lncRNA from 9 species